rnacentral:rRNA from 1 species
UACGGGGGGGCAAGCGUUGUUCGGAAUUACUGGGCGUAAAGGGCUCGUAGGUGGCCAACUAAGUCAGACGUGAAAUCCCUCGGCUUAACCGGGGAACUGCGUCUGAUACUGGAUGGCUUGAGUGUGGGAGAGGGAUGCGGAAUUCCAGGUGUAGCGGUGAAAUGCGUAGAUAUCUGGAGGAACACCGGUGGCGAAGGCGGCAUCCUGGACCACGACUGACGCUGAGUGAGCGAAAGCCAGGGGAGCAAACGGG